GCUAACGCUGGCGGCGUGUCUUAGCCAUGCAAGUCGAGCGGACUUAUGGGGUAACUUAUAAGUCAGCGGCGGACGGCGGAGUAACACGUAGCUAACCUACCCUCUGGACGGGGAUAACCUACCGAAAGGUGGGCUAAUACCCGAUGUAGUCAUCCUGUAUAGGGGUGAUGAAAGGUGGGCUUCUGUUUACAAGCUCAUGCUGGAGGAGGGGGCUGCGGCCUAUCAGGUAGUUGGUAGGGUAAUAGCCUACCAAGCCGAUGACGGGUAGCCGGCCUGAGAGGGUGACCGGCCCGAGGGGCACUGAGAUACGGGUCCCACUCCUACGGGAGGCAGCAGGCUAGAAAUUUGGGCAAUGGGCGGAAGCCUGACCGAGCGACGCCGCGUGAGGGACGAAGGCCUUCGGGUUGUAAACCUCUGUCUGGGGGGACGAGUAAGGACGGUACCCCCGGAGGAAGCCCCGGCUAACUACGUG
rnacentral:rRNA from 1 species